GACGAACGCUGGCGGCGUGCUUAACACAUGCAAGUCGAACGGAAAGGCCCUGCUUUUGUGGGGUGCUCGAGUGGCGAACGGGUGAGUAACACGUGAGUAACCUGCCCUUGACUUUGGGAUAACUUCAGGAAACUGGGGCUAAUACCGGAUAGGAGCUCCUGCUGCAUGGUGGGGGUUGGAAAGUUUCGGCGGUUGGGGAUGGACUCGCGGCUUAUCAGCUUGUUGGUGGGGUAGUGGCUUACCAAGGCUUUGACGGGUAGCCGGCCUGAGAGGGUGACCGGCCACAUUGGGACUGAGAUGCGGCCCAGACUCCAACGGGAGGCAGCAGUGAGGAAUAUUGCACAAUGGGCGGAAGCCUGAUGCAGCAACGCCGCGUGCGGGAUGACGGCCUUCGGGUUGUAAACCGCUUUCGCCUGUGACGAAGCGUGAGUGACGGUAAUGGGUAAGGAAGCACCGGCUAACUACGUG
rnacentral:rRNA from 1 species